rnacentral:lncRNA from 1 species
UUGGUGGAUGAACCUAGUCCUGCAAGGAAAACCUUGAUUCUAUUAUAAAAAUAUCGUAGAAAUUGGUGCGGCGUUGAACCAGUCAGGUUAGGAGGCAAACAACACGCACAUAAGAGCGUGGCAUGCACGGAUCUACCUCGGGCAUCGAGCACCAGGAGCAUAUGUCACGCCAUUCGACGUAGAAUGGUAGUAUAAAACAGACCAUCCAUCAAUCUAUCAUGUUCUUUCCCCAUAUUUUCAGCCCGGCAAGGAUUUUUCUAAGAGGAAAUUUC